rnacentral:misc_RNA from 1 species
UGACCACUCCAGCCUAGCUGGGUAUUGGACCACGCCAGCAGCGCGGGUCUUAAAAUCAGUGGCGGUGCUUUCAGGCUCUACGCGUAGUAAUAUCUCUCGCUAUAGAGCCCUGGGGGACACUAGCCAUCAACCUCAACUUCUUAA